rnacentral:rRNA from 1 species
GCGUGCACUUCUCCCCUAGUAGGACGUCGCGACCCGUUGGGUGCCGGCCUACGGCCCGGUUGGUUGACUGUAGCGUCGCGUUUACGUGCACGCUACAGACCAUCGGUUGCCCGGCCGGCUGCCCGGCGGUAUAGAACGCAUUGAAACGGUAUUGGGCCGCACAUUUGUGCGUCCUGGCUCGUCGGCAGGCUCGCCUCGCUCGGAUCUACGGACCUAGUGCCGUAGCCGGGUGCUUGGUGUGGUCGUUAGUCGACGAUGUCCUCGGACCGGCUCUUACCGGUCGGCGACGCUACUGCUUUGGGUACUUUCAGGACCCGUCUUGAAACACGGACCAAGGAGUCUAACAUGUACGCGAGUCAUUGGGAUUUGAAAACCUAAAGGCGUAAUGAACGUGAAGGUCGGCCCUAGCGUCGACCGAGGGAGGAUGGCUCGCGUUACGAUGCGAGCCCGCACUCCCGGGGCAUCUCGUGCUCAUUGCGAGCAGCGGUGCACCCAGAGCGUACACGUUGGGACCCGAAAGAUGGUGAACUAUGCCUGGUCAGGACGAAGUCAGGGGAAACCCUGAUGGAGGUCCGCAGCGAUUCUGACGUGCAAAUCGAUCGUCGGAACUGGGUAUAGGGGCGAAAGACUAAUCGAACCAUCUAGUAGCUGGUUCCCUCCGAAGUUUCCCUUAGGAUAGCUGGCACUCGCUUGAGCGAGUCUCAUCUGGUAAAGCGAAUGAUUAGAGGCCUUGGGGCCGAAACGACCUCAACCUAUUCUCAAACUUUAAAUGGGUGAGAUCUCUGGCUUGCUUGAACGUUGAAGCCAGAGAUUUUUUUUGCAAUGGAUCAGAGUGCCAAGUGGGCCAAUUUUGGUAAGCAGA